rnacentral:tRNA from 1 species
GUCUCUGUAGUGCAAUUGGUUAGCACAGUCGGCCUUUAACUGGAAGGUUGGUGGCUCAAGCCCACCCAGGGACG